CUUGGGAGGCUGAGGGCUGAGGUGGGAGGAUCACUUGAGCCUGGGAUGUUGAGGCUGCAGUGAGCUGUGAUUGCACCACUACGUUACAGCCUGGGUGACAAAGUUUUGAGAUGCUGUUUCAAAAAAACAAAAACCAGGCCGGGCGCGGUGGCUCACGCCUGUAAUCCCAGCACUUUGGGAGGCCGAGGCGGGUGGAUCACGAGGUCAGGAGAUCGAGACCAUCCUGGCUAACACAGUGAAACCCCGUCUCUACUAAAAAAUACAAAAAAUUAGCCGGGCGUGGUGGCGGGCGCCUGUAGUCCCAGCCACGCGGGAGGCUGAGGCAGGAGAAUGGUGUGAACCCGGGAGGCGGAGCUUGCAGUGAGCCGAGAUCGCGCCACUGCACCCCAGCCUGGGCGACAGAGCGAGACUCCGUCUCAAAAAAAAAAAAAAAAAACAAAACAAAAAACAAACCAACCAAAUAAAAAACAAAAAAGGCAUUCAGAGGUAGAACGUUCUGAGAAUAACAGAGUUGGGGUAGAGGGGGAGGCUGGGAGCCAGAAGCGUUAAAUCUUCCGUCACUAAGGGGAAUGACUGGGAGGCUGUAGAAGACAGCCAGGAGGAGAGGAGGCGUGGUAUUUUGGGGCACAUAAGGGGAGCAGGGUUUGCAAAGGGGCUGGGGAGGGGCGAUGGUCUAGAUGUUGUGAUGGGGGCUGAGGAGGACUCCCAUCCCACCUAGGCAUAGGAAAUGAGAGAAGGAGCUACAUGGGUUGAGAGGUGGCAGGAGAAAUUGUCUUUGGGGGACAUUCAAGUUUUGGUUAAGACAAGGAGCAAAGCAGAAUCCGAGGAGAGACAGAGUAUCAAGAUGCCCCAGGGCUCAGUGGGAGCAAAGUGGGGUGGUGACGGUAGAGCCUUUGAAGCAAUAGGGAAUUUGAGUUCAAAAGAAUCAUGUGACUUUCUAAGCUUGGGCCUAGUGGUGUUCUGCUUUGAGGGUUGGCAUUAGAGGGGACUUAGAAGUUGUGGUGAAUUUUGUGGUCCCAGAGGGCUGGAGAUGAGCCUCUAGGUCUCUCGGAUUUCUGAAAAGUACUAGUCAGUGACAAGAAACAU
rnacentral:lncRNA from 1 species